rnacentral:lncRNA from 10 species
GCAGCAUGUCACAGUCAGAGGCUGCUCCUUCAGCCUGGGUACCUGAAUGAGAAGACACGUGGAGCAGAGCAGAGCCUGCUUCAACCUGCAGCCAGGAUGGAAUCAGCUCAUUGAGAAACGCCGCUCCUGCUGUUUCCCAGACACAGGUGGAUCCUGGGAUGAUGGAGGGCCAUCCUCACUCCUGCCUGGAAGAGAGCUGAAGUCAUCCACAGGGAAGAAUGAGUCCUUCCUCAACUUGAUUUUCUCCAAGAAAACUUAAGGAAUGGAGCAGCGAGGAACUUAGAGAAACCGCUUACCCAGUGGAAGAAAAUUAGGCUGUGUCCCCAUCCCCUUCUCCUGAGGAGAGAAUGCUUUGUUGGGCUAACAGUUAUGUUGGACUAACAGCUAUGACAAUAUGCAAUUAAUAGUAAGUUUCUUUGUAACAGAUAAUAGUCAAAACAUCUUGAAGCCCAUUCACAGAGACAACUUUGGGGGAAGCCUCGGCUGUCCACACACACAUCGAACACUGUCAUUAAGCCCUCCUGGAAUGACAGUAGCUAUAGUUCAUUAUCCCGGGUGGUGGUUGUGGGGGGUACUCUAUUCUUUACAUUUUCUUUGAGAAAAAAAAUGUCUUUUAAAACUUAAUUUGCAACACAACACAGUCACAUAAAUGGAAAAGGAUGUGGCCUGAUGAUUCAUGAAGGAACCCAAAUGAUGAGGGGCUGUGCUAAUUUCUGACAACUGAGUGAUUUAUUUCAAAAGAAAGGCCCUGCACCCCCUAAUUGGAUACUUCCACUGGCUAGAUGAGCAUGAGUUUCUCAGCAGAAUUUUACAUAAAUAAAAUUAAGUCAUAUCUUUGUCUGUGGAUAGACAUGCUGAAACACAUCUCUUAAAAACCCUAUUUAUUUUUAUGAAUAAAAAUAAGCCCA